ensembl:snRNA Gm27926 predicted gene, 27926
GAGUGAACGCGGAUCUUUUAGAAUUUUUUUUUUCUAGCAGCUUUUCUGACUUUUGGUCAGAAAGCCCAU